CGCGCAGGCGGUCUUGUCCGUCAGGUGUGAAAGCUCGGGGCUCAACCCCGGAAGUGCACUUGAAACAGCAAGGCUUGAAUACGGGAGAGGAGAGAGGAAUUCCUGGUGUAGAGGUGAAAUUCGUAGAUAUCAGGAGGAACACCGAUGGCGAAGGCAUCUCUCUGGACCGAUAUUGACGCUGAGGCGCGAAGGCGUGGGUAGCGAACG
rnacentral:rRNA from 1 species